rnacentral:rRNA from 1 species
ACCCGCACAAGCGGUGGAUGAUGUGGUUUAAUUCGAUGCAACGCGAAAACCUUACCCACCUUGACAUGUACGGAAUCCUUUAGAGAUAGAGGAGUGCUCGAAAGAGAACCGUAACACAGGUGCUGCAUGGCUGUCGUCAGCUCGUGCCGUGAGGUGUCGGGUUAAGUCCCAUAACAAGCGCAACCCUUACCGUUAGUUACCAUCAGGUUAAGCUGGGGACUCUAGCGGGACUGCCACCGUAAGGUGAGAGGAAGGUGGGGAUGACGUCAAAUCAGCACGGCCCUUAUGUCCAGGGCUACACACGUGUUACAAUGGCCAGUACAAAGGGCAGCUACCGGGUGACCGGAUGCUAAUCUCUAAAGCUGGUCUCAGUUCGGAUCGAAGUCUGCAACCCGACUUCGUGAAGCUGGAUUCGCUAGUAAUCGCGCAUCAGCCAUGGCGCGGUGAAUACGUUCCCGGGCCUU